GUGCCAGCCGCCGCGGUAAUACGGAGGGGGCAAGCGUUAUUCGGAAUUAUUGGGCGUAAAGGGCGUGUAGGCGGCUUGAUAAGCCAAAGGUGAAAUCCCUCAGCUCAACUGAGGAACUGCCUUUGGAACUGUCUCGCUAGAGGCCAGGAGAGGGUAGCGGAAUUCCCAGUGUAGCGGUGAAAUGCGUAGAUAUUGGGAGGAACACCAGUGGCGAAGGCGGCUACCUGGACUGGUACUGACGCUGAGGCGCGAAAGCGUGGGGAGCAAACAGGAUUAGAUACCCUGGUAGUCCACGCUGUAAACGAUGGGCACUCGGUGCUGCGGGUAUCGACCCCUGCAGUGCCUUAGCUAACGCGUUAAGUGCCCCGCCUGGGGAGUACGGUCGCAAGGCUGAAACUCAAAUAAAUUGACGG
rnacentral:rRNA from 1 species